GGAGGUCCGCGCCGCUCAGGUGACAACACUCCAGCUGGGAGCACCGAGAGGAGAAAGGCAACACUUACCGAGACUCGGGAUCCCGCGCCGGAGCUCCAGACACAAGAGAGGGAGAGCAGAGAGCAAGAAAAGGCCCACGACGCCACGAGAAGCCAUGGCGCGGAGGGCUCGCUGGGCGCAGUGCCCGCCCCUUCCGGCCGUGCCUUCCGCGAGCUCGCCCCGGAGGCCUCGGGCUGGGAGGAAUGGAGGGAGGAUGCUGUGCCCUGAGGCUGGGGCGCGGGCCCGGAUGCGAUUGCUCAGACGGCGCGGGUCAUCUCCUUCGGCUGGGACGGUCCCUGUCCUGUGGAUCUGAGGCUGGUCACGAUGACAGUGGCUUAUCAGACUGUGCAGGUCUAAAAGAUGGUGCUCAGAAGACUGAAAUGACUUAAAAGGGGCGGUUGACGCUGCGAGGCCCGGUGGCCUUGUGUCCCUUGGGGGUAACAGGGCGUUUGGUUCUUAGCUAACUAGUUACUAAGCAUCUUCUCUUCCUAACAGGUCCUGCGGGAAGCUUAAAAGUGGGGUCUGCUCCCUAGUGCCUGUUCCUGCCCCACACCCGCGUGGAGAGUUCCCUAGACCUGCCCCCCACUCACUGUUCUCCCUGUCAAUGCCUACACGUGUUACAGUUAUGACUUAACGUUGGCCUCACAGUGACUUCCCUGCCACUCCAUGACUCAGCUCUGGUAACUUAGAGUUCAGGAAUGGAGGGCCUUCCCACUGACAAGAUUCCCAACUUGGCAAGUCCUCAACCAUCAAUACCCCCAGUCGCUCUUCAGUUUAGCUUAAGUUCCAAGUAUGUGUAAGUUACUGAAUUUGUCCUAAACAAACUCAGCCCUGGGAUACAUGUCCUGUACAGAGACUAUCUGAUGUCUGGUGCCAUGAUAGGAAUGUCUGUAUAGAGUGCUACAGAACCACGUUCUGCAGUGUGGAGAAGAAUUUCCUGAGGAGAUAGUGACUAAAGUGUGAAGGUUUGGAGUUUGGACUUCGGACACUUUUAACCACAGCACUAGGGAGGCAGUGGCAGAUGGAUCUCUGAGUUCAAGGCCAGCCUGGUCUACAGAGUGAGUUCCAGGACUGCACAGAGAAACCCUGAUUGAAAAAAACAAAAGAAAAAAAAAGUAUACAGAGGAGCGUCCAAGACCUUGGAACAGUGAGCCCUAAAUGGGUGAAUAUGAAACCCUCCCCUUAGGGAACCCCAAAGGAGCAGAGGCAGAAAGAGUAAGAGCAAAAGGGAUGAAGGGCACGGAGAAAACAAGGCCCUCCAAAGCAAAAAAGAUCGAUAAAUAUGUGAACUCAGUGAACUGAGGCAGCAUGCACAGAGCCUGUGUGGAUCUUCACCGAUAAGCUCCUAGAGCCCAAAGAAGUAGACAGCUAUCCCCAUCCUUAAUCCAGCCACUAUCUCCAACUGAUAACCACUUGAAAAAGUAAAUUCUCUCUCCAGGGAAGGCUCACUUGAAAAACAUUUGCGAUGGUAGACUGAAUGGCCAGCAGUGGAUGGCCAAUACAACCUUAGAGGUUCCUGCUCUUG
rnacentral:lncRNA from 1 species